UGGGGAAUAUUGCACAAUGGGGGAAACCCUGAUGCAGCCAUGCCGCGUGUGUGAAGAAGGCCUUCGGGUUGUAAAGCACUUUCAGUCAGGAGGAAAGGUGGCUAGCUAAUAUCUAGUUGCUGUGACGUUACUGACAGAAGAAGCACCGGCUAACUCCGUGCCAGCAGCCGCGGUAAUACGGAGGGUGCAAGCGUUAAUCGGAAUUACUGGGCGUAAAGCGCACGCAGGCGGCUUGUUAAGUCAGAUGUGAAAGCCCCGGGCUCAACCUGGGAACUGCAUUUGAAACUGACAAGCUAGAGUCUUGUAGAGGGGGGUAGAAUUCCAGGUGUAGCGGUGAAAUGCGUAGAGAUCUGGAGGAAUACCGGUGGCGAAGGCGGCCCCCUGGACAGAGACUGACGCUCAGGUGCGAAAGCGUGGGGAGCAAACAGG
rnacentral:rRNA from 3 species